GCUUCGGUGGCCUAAUUGGAUAAGGCAUCCGUCUUCUAAACGUGAAAUUGGGGGUUCUACCCCCCUCGAAAUA